AGUGGGGAAUAUUGCGCAAUGGACGAAAGUCUGACGCAGCGACGCCGCGUGAGGGAUGAAGGUUUUCGGAUCGUAAACCUCUGUCAGGAGGGAAGAAAGCGCAUGGCGCCAAUCAGCCAUGCGUUGACGGUACCUCCAAAGGAAGCGCCGGCUAACUCCGUGCC
rnacentral:rRNA from 1 species